UUGAACGCUGGCGGCAUGCUUUACACAUGCAAGUCGAACGGCAGCGCGGGCUUCGGCCUGGCGGCGAGUGGCGAACGGGUGAGUAAUGCAUCGGAACGUGCCCAGUAGUGGGGGAUAGCCCGGCGAAAGCCGGAUUAAUACCGCAUACGACCUGAGGGUGCAAGCGGGGGACCGAAAGGCCUCGCGCUAUUGGAGCGGCCGAUGUCGGCUUAGCUAGUUGGUGGGGUAAAGGCUUACCAAGGCGACGAUCCGUAGCUGGUCUGAGAGGACGACCAGCCACACUGGGACUGAGACACGGCCCAGACUCCUACGGGAGGCAGCAGUGGGGAAUUUUGGACAAUGGGGGCAACCCUGAUCCAGCCAUGCCGCGUGCGGGAAGAAGGCCUUCGGGUUGUAAACCGCUUUUGUUCGGGAAGAAAUCCUCUGGGCUAAUACCCCGGGGGGAUGACGGUACCGGAAGAAUAAGCACCGGCUAACUACGUG
rnacentral:rRNA from 1 species